AGAGCUCUCCUUUGUGGAGUUAUCCUCUGGGAUGCCAGAUCUUUGGAGAUGGCUGGGAGUUAUUUCAUCUGUACAUACCUAUAGAGGUGAAUGUCGCUGUGGGUGAUGCAAGAUGUGAGCCCUGAUUAUGGUUCUCCACCCAUCAACUGUACAGCAGCACUCGCCUUGUUCUUAGUUAUUCUUAUGCUACAGGGGGGUCUCUGCCUUUGUAAAUGGAUAAAAAAGAUUGUGGAAAGAGACAAAGAGUCUUGAAAGAAUCUUUUCUUGCUUUCUUGUGUUUCAAAGAUACACAAUUUGUCUUGGAAAUAAAAUGUGAGUCACUACUCCUUGUAGCACCUCUCCCUUUCCCCGAAGAGGGGAAGUAACAGAAACUAAAACUGUAUUAUCUGGACUAUAGUUUAAAAUAGCCAGUAUAAUUAGUUCAAACUAUCGCUUCAAGAAAGUGCAUACAUUAGUCAAAUAACAUCUGCCAUCCAGUGCCUAAGCUUAAAUGUGAUCUGUGUAUCUGAAAACUCUUCUUGUAAUUUCAGCCCAGUUUAAUAUCACUAACACUGAAGUAUGCAGACAAAAGCAGACUAGUUCCAAAACAACAGCAAUGAUAUUCCUACUGCUGUUACUUAGUAUCUGUGGACUGUGUACAGCUUUUUUUAGAAAUCAAGCCUCUUGUAGACCCAACACUGGUAAGACCAUACUGUGGUUUAAUGUUACAUAUCCUGUAAGUUACGUCAGUUUAAUUUUGCGUGUACUAAGAACAUUGUAUGAAGAUGGAAAUUUUGCUGUAUUUUAAGGCUGAUUUUAAUAUUUGCCAGAUGCCACUACUCUAAGAAUUAUUAAUUUUAAAAGCAUUUCAACUUGGACAUCUGAAAACUGAGAUACCAUGCAAAAUGUCGUAUCAUGGUACUCUAAUGCAGCUCUUAGCACCUCCCAGACCACUUUUUCUACAGAGAGGUCACAUAGGGAUUAAUGCACUAAGGGACUUAUGCCUAUGGUGCACUACUUCCUGCUGAGUCUGUGUUCCACUGUAUUUGCCACUGGCUUGCUGCUAGUUUGCAGCUGCUUUGGGUGGUUCUUAGUUUAUAAUACCAUUCAGUAAUACAGUCCACAUAAAAUCUGCAUUGCUUAAGUAAUAAAUAUUUGAUAUAAUUGCCUUUUUCUCAAAAGGGCUGUUUCCCCAAGGCUGUGCUAUCUCAGUAAAGCAGCAUGUGUUUCUCUCUGCUGUUUCAGUGCAGUUGUAGUACCAUCUUUAUAUGUAGUUUCCAAAUCUACAUGCUCAUCAGGCCUGCCCUGGCACAAGGCUUUACUGUGAGUCAGCCCCUCUGUCUAUAGAAGUUACCUGUAUUCAUUCUUAGUCUUCUCCUUCUGUCUUACCAAGAGGAGCUGCUUUUCCUGCCUUUCUGCCGCUUGUAAGCCAUGCUGCUGAUUACUUUAAAAAAGGUGUACUUCAUGUUUGCUGUCAACAUCAAGAGCACAUUUUUGAACAAGACAUUCAAUUCAACUGGAACAGAGAUUGUAUAAAUUCCUAUUACCUUUCAAAACUUCAGUAAAAUUAAGCAAUAGAUGUUUUGUGAUUUUAAUGAGAUCACACAUUCCUGAUUCAAUGAUAUCAAAGGUUUUCUGUACUGGGAUAAGGACUAUCAGCUCCUGAUGCUCCCACUGGUCAGUGGGAAUUACUGAAGCAGUCUCACACCAAGUUCUGCCAGUGAAUUUUGUUUCAUAGCAUCUGAUGUCUGCAGGAGUGCUUAUGAAACUUGCAUUUUUUUAAACAUAAAUAUUUACAGGAUCUCUGCCUUCAGAAGGCAUAUUUAAGUUGUCAUGACAUCCAAAGAACUAAUAAUUUGCCGCAUUAGGUCAUUCUCAUUUUAUUUUUCUUAUAUUUAUAUUCUCAAAUCUCAAUUUUAAUGUCAGGGAAUAAAGAGGAAAAAACAGGGAAUUCCCUUCUGAGUACAUAUGAAUUUCUAAUAGCAGAACCUUGGUAGUUUUUCACACUCGUACCUCCAAAUGGCUCAAGAACUUUGAAUGUCUCCAUGUAGUGGAAAAAUUAUAUCCCAGCUGUGCUCUUGUAUUCAAAUUUCUGUUAAAAUAUGAGGCUCAUGCCACCACCCUAUUAUCAAAGCUGAAAAGGCAAGCACUCUUUCUCAUGCUAUUUAAAAUAAUACCAGAAUUUAAUUGUGAUUGAUUUAGAACUCUUUUGCAAAUUAGUGGUCUAUGUUAAAGAACUGGUUUUCUGUCAAAUCUGGAUUUGAGCAAAAUCAAGAUUAGAAAAGAUAUGACAAAAUACUUUAGAAUUUACCAUAAUUUGGGAAUAUUUUAGCAAGAUCCUUAUUGUAAAGUCAUUCCCUAUUAUAAUGUAUUCUAGACCUUACCUUCAUCUGUAUACCAAAAAAACAAUGUAUCAUGAAUUGUUUAUGUUUUAAAGUAUUAUCUUUGCUUACUCUCUUGCUAGUUGUUUGGGAUUCUUACUGUUGUCUUUUGGUAGUAAUUUCAUUUUAUCUCGUGCUGUAUUUUUGCCUUUUUCUUUUUCAAAAUUGUCUUAUAGACAAAGCCUGUUAUAUUUCUGUGUCUGUAAUAGUUAAGCAAAUACAUAUAGUAACUACAUGAUGGGGAGAUCAGUCAGAAUUGUCUUUGUCUUAAACAUUUGAAACUGUCUGUAAAUUACAAACAUUUCAAAAGA